rnacentral:hammerhead_ribozyme from 1 species
ACCAAGCUGACGAGUCCCAAAUUGGGCGAUACGUGCGUCCUGGAU